rnacentral:rRNA from 1 species
UACAGGGGGGGGCAAGCGUUGUUCGGAAUUACUGGGCGUAAAGGGCUCGUAGGUGGCCAACUAAGUCAGACGUGAAAUCCCCUCAGCUUAACUGGGGAACUGCGUCUGAUACUGGAUGGCUUGAGUUUGGGAGAGGGAUGCGGAAUUCCAGGUGUAGCGGUGAAAUGCGUAGAUAUCUGGAGGAACACCGGUGGCGAAGGCGGCAUCCUGGACCAACACUGACACUGAGGAGCGAAAGCCAGGGGAGCAAACGGG